CUACGGGAGGCAGCAGUGAGGAAUAUUGGACAAUGGGGGAAACCCUGAUCCAGCAAUGCCGCGUGAAUGAAGAAGGCCUUAGGGUUGUAAAGUUCUUUCACUCGUGAAGAUUAUGACGGUAACGAGAGAAGAAGCCCCGGCUAACUCUGUGCCAGCAGCCGCGGUAAGACAGAGGGGGCUAGCGUUGUUCGGAAUAACUGGGCGUAAAGGGUGCGUAGGCGGUUGUUUAAGUAAAGUGUAAAAGCCCUGGGCUUAACCCAGGAAUCGCAUUUUAAACUGGACAGCUAGAGUGUGGUAGAGGAAAGUGGAAUUCCUAGUGUAGAGGUGAAAUUCGUAGAUAUUAGGAGGAACACCAGAGGCGAAGGCGGCUUUCUGGACCAUUACUGACGCUGAGGCACGAAAGCGUGGGGAGCAAACAGGAUUAGAUACCCGCGUAGUC
rnacentral:rRNA from 1 species